rnacentral:rRNA from 1 species
GUUCAAGGACUAAGCCAUGCACGUGUAAGAGCAAGUUGCCGCGCUGCACAACUAUUCUGCGAAUGGCUCAUUAUACCAGCACUGAUCUCAGCAGGGUGUGGCNGCAAUCCCGGAUCGGGAAAGUUGAGCAGAGAACUAUCUCUCGCGGGAUGGUUCGCCGUCUUGCUCCCUGGCCUAUUGGCGAAAGCCUCUUACCGGCCUAGGGGAGCAGAUGGCAGUACUUGCUCCGUUGGGUAGUAAGCGAACAACCUUUCUUCUGAAACAGAGGGCUAAUCCGUGCUGAGGCUUCCAGCUCURUUCCCUUCAUGGCGAAGCGCGACAGAGUGCACUGGGCUGAUCCAAAGAGCGAGUGAUGCCGUCCUUGGUCCCCUACGCCUCGGUGUGGGGGUCUUGGACCGUAGACAAGGUGGAAGCAAGCCCUCUGUGGAAGAUCUGUGGUUGUUUCCCUCCAGGAGUGCGGCUGAGGAGCCUCUCGAGGCACACUCAUUUAGCACUUCCCUGGAGGGACUUGCCCUCCCGUAAAGGAAGAUGCGACUUCCCUCGUAGAUGCGCUAGUGGGAUCGUCCCCGGACGUCCCACUUCCCUGCUCGAGUUUCUGCCCUAUCAGCCAUGGACGGUGGUGUGAAGGACCACGGUGGCAAUGACGGGUAACGCGGGAUUAGGGUUCGAUCCCGGAGAAGGAGCCUGAAAGACGGCUACUACAGCUAAGGCUGGCAGCAUGCACGNAAAUUGCUCAAUAUCGAUUGGUCGAGGUGAAGCAGCGACGAGGAGUGGUAUCAGUAGCCGGUUAUUUGAUCGGGAUUGUUGGAAUGAAUGAGGACCCAAGGAAUGCAGUGAGCAUCUACUUGUGGGCCAGUCUGGUGCCAGCAGCCGCGGUAAUUCCAGCACAAGUGGCCUACUUUGAAGUUGCUGCCGCUUAAAAAGCUCGUAGUUGGUUGACACCCGGGACCAAGUCCAAAAGCCUGGUAAGCUCCGGCUUUCCGGGUGGCUGGGCAGCGGCCCGUUGGUGUCGCCCCCGCCUUGCCUCUCCGAAUUGUCCAACUUGCCUGGGCUCCCGGGAAACCGGAAUUUCCUUGCAUUUGGGCGAGACAACGAGAGGUCGAGGCUGGGGCUUGCAGUGGGAGCGAUUCUCCGAUCAGGAGGGAAGAAGCCUUGGCACCACAGCCUGCGGUCCUUUUCUUCCUCAGCUCUCGAGCUGGCGGUUGGGAGGGAUGCAGCAGGAACCUCUGUGGCAAGGUAGACUCCCUCCGGGCAGCCAUGCCGCGGCCUACAUCCUGAAAACCCGCCGAGUGGCCCGGUGCUCCUCCCCAGUUGCCUUCGGGCCUCCAGGGGGGGGCUAAGGCCCAGGAGAUGCCCACUGGAUUUGUACCAUGAGCAAAGCUGAGCGCCUCAAGCAGUUGUCCUUCCUGCCGACUGAAUGUUCAAGCAUGGCAUAACAAGGGAUCGGUCCAAUGGACCAGCAGUUCUGGCAAUCUUUACUGGCCAAUGCUCGGACUAACGCCGUGUUUUGGGGUGCUUCCCCGGCUGAUUCCGGCGUGCAAGAGUUGUGCUCUGUGCGGGUGUCCUUCGGGAAACCCUUGCACUCACGCUCUGGCACAAAGGGGGAGGCCAGGGAAAAACCUCGGAGCCGAAGUGUUGACGGGGGUCGUUUCUGUGCUCAGGGUACUGGACGGCGAGCGGUGAAAUGCUUUGACCCGUCUCAGGACCACCAAAGGCGAAAGCACUGAGCAGGGUCCGACCCGCCAAUCAAGAGCGAGUGUGCGGGGAUCGAAGAGGAUCAGAUACCCUCGUAGUCCGCGCUGUAAACCGUGCCUACUGAGGGUGGGGGAUGUGUUCCAUCGGAAUGUCAUCUCCUGCCCUUCCCCCUUCAACGAGAAAUCCAAGUGUAUGGGUUCAGGGGGGAGUACGGUUGCAAGACAGAACUUAAAGGAAUUGACGGAAUGGCACCACAAGGCGUGGAGUGUGCGGCUUAAUUUGACUCAACACGGGAAACGUUACCUGGAUAGCACGUGGCAAGGAUAUGACAGGCUGAAGAACUCUCGUGAUAACUCGGCAAGUGGUGCAUGGCCGUUCUUGGUUGGUGAAGUGAUUUGUCUGGUUGAUUCCGAUAACGAGCGAGGUCUUCACCUUCCAGUAGGCAACGCUCUCGCUCACAGUAGGGCGUCUUGGUCCCCCGGAUCCCGCGAGCUUCGGCGAGUGGGAGUCAUCCGGUGGAGGCCCGGCCCGAGAGUGGCGGUGUUGCUUCUCAGUGGGCUCAGGCACUUUGUCUCGACUAAGUGCCUACAGCCGGAAGCCAACAGCAGGUCUGUGAUGCCCUUAGAUGCCCAGGGCUGCACGCGCACGACAAUGACGUUGUGAGCGUGUGGAAUUCCCCUGUGGCGUCUGGAGGAUUCCCUUGGGUUCUGCGGUCUCAGGCCAAAGUUCCCGGGGGGUUUUCCUCCUCUCCCACAGCUAUCCAGGAGUCCGUGGUUUGAAGAUAAACUGGGAAAUCCCGAAGCUGGUUGUCGUGAUUGGGGAUCGGUGCUUGCUACUGUUCGCCUUGAACGAGGAAUGCCCAGUAAGUGCAGGUCAACAGCCUGCAUUGACUGCGUCCCUGCCAUUUGUACACACCGCCCGUCGUUGCUACCGAUGGCGCUGGGAUAGAGGCCUGAGGAGACUAGUAGCGGGACUGCUGGGUUGGCCUCGGUCAUCACAGCAUCCCGUGAACGMMGAAUUCGGCCAAUAUCCAUUGCUGGAGGAAGCAAAAGUCGUAACAAGG